GAUCCUGGCUCAGGAUGAACGCUAGCGGCAGGCCUAACACAUGCAAGUCGAGGGGCAUCACGAGGUAGCAAUACUUUGGUGGCGACCGGCGCACGGGUGCGUAACGCGUAUGUAACCUACCUAUAACAGGGGCAUAACACUGAGAAAUUGGUACUAAUUCCCCAUAAUAUUCGGAGAGGCAUCUCUCCGGGUUAAAAACUCCGGUGGUUAUAGAUGGACAUGCGUUGUAUUAGCUAGUUGGUGAGGUAACGG
rnacentral:rRNA from 1 species